rnacentral:misc_RNA from 1 species
GUCCGAGCGACACCAACAGCAAUAGCAAUCAGAUUUAUGAUCAUGAUAGUGAUAGGUGGUAUCAUCAAAGAGGUCCAUUUCACAACGUAGAGGUCUGCAAAAUCAUCGUCCACCUCGUCACCGCCUGAUUUUGUUGUCAGGGUGAACGAGAUCUCGAUUCCCGCAAUUACCUUCAACAGGCCCUGGAGCACAGCAGCAAGAUGGGCACUCGUCCCGCCGAUCA